AAACUUAAAGGAAUUGACGGGACCCGCACAAGCAGCGGAGCAUGUGGUUUAAUUCGAAGCAACGCGAAGAACCUUACCAGGUCUUGACAUCCUCUGACCAUCUGAGAGAUCAGACUUCCCGUUCGGGGACAGAGAGACAGGUGGUGCAUGGUUGUCGUCAGCUCGUGUCGUGAGAUGUUGGGUUAAGUCCCGCAACGAGCGCAACCCCUGUGGUUAGUUGCCAUCAUUUAGUUGGGCACUCUAAGCAGACUGCCGUGGAUAACACGGAGGAAGGUGGGGACGACGUCAAAUCAUCAUGCCCCUUAUGACCUGGGCUACACACGUGCUACAAUGGUCUGAACAGAGGGCUGCGAAACCGCGAGGUGAAGCUAAUCCCUUAAAACAGAUCUCAGUUCGGAUUGCAGGCUGCAACUCGCCUGCAUGAAGUUGGAGUUGCUAGUAAUCGCAGAUCAGAAUGCUGCGGUGAAUGCGUUCCCGGGUCUU
rnacentral:rRNA from 1 species